rnacentral:rRNA from 1 species
AACGAACGCUGGCGGCAUGCCUAACACAUGCAAGUCGAACGAGACCUUCGGGUCUAGUGGCGCACGGGUGCGUAACGCGUGGGAACCUGCCCUUAGGUUCGGAAUAACUCCCCGAAAGGGGUGCUAAUACCGGAUAAUGUCUUCGGACCAAAGAUUUAUCGCCUUUGGAUGGGCCCGCGUUGGAUUAGCUAGUUGGUAGGGUAAAAGCCUACCAAGGCGACGAUCCAUAGCUGGUCUGAGAGGAUGAUCAGCCACACUGGGACUGGGACCCGGCCCAGACUCCUACGGGAGGGCGCAGUGGGGAAUCUUGGACACUGGGCGAAAGCCUGAUCCCGCCAUGCCGCGUGAGUGAUGAAGGCCUUAGGGUUGUAAAGCUCUUUUACCCGGGAUGAUAAUGCCAGUCCCGGGAGAAUAAGCUCCGGCUACCUCCGU